rnacentral:misc_RNA from 1 species
AAGUAGUCAGCCUGGGCCCUUCUCUGGGCCCGCCAGGGCAUAUCUACCACCCUUUGUUUACCACACCAUUGUUGCUUUGGCAGGCCUGUCUCCGGACUGCUGGCUCCGGCUGGCGAGCGCCUGCCAAGGGACCCAAACUCUGUUUGUCUAUACUGUCUGAGUACUAUAUAAUAGUUA